rnacentral:rRNA from 1 species
CAGUAGCCGCGGUAAAACGAAGGGGGCUAGCGUUGCUCGGAAUGACUGGGCGUAAAGCGUGCGCAGGCGGUUUGUUAAGACAGAUGUGAAAUCCCCGGGCUCAACCUGGGAACUGCAUUUGUGACUGGCAAGCUAGAGUGUGGCAGAGGGGGGUGGAAUUCCGCGUGUAGCAGUGAAAUGCGUAGAUAUGCGGAGGAACACCGAUGGCGAAGGCAGCCCCCUGGGCCAACACUGACGCUCAUGCACGAAAGCGUGGGGAGCAAACAGGAUUAGAUACCCCUGUAGUCCCUGUCUCUUAUAC